UCCUUUAACAUAACGGGUCUCUUUUUUCAUUCAUUUCCUGGCGUCAAAUUUCCGCAAAACCAGAUUUCUCCCUAGCUUUUGUUUUUACCUCUUCUUCCUGGACAUACAAACAAGUAAGGCAACCAUUCGCGAACUCAUCGACGAACUCACCACCACCACCGGAGAAUCUACCACCGGAGAACUACGUUACGAUUGGCGACUUCACUACCACCGGCGACCUCAACACAAUCGCUAGCGAACUUCAAAUUUAGCUUGUGGUGCUAGAUACUGAUAGGAGCAUACAAGGGAAGCUGUACAUGACAGGAUCAAACGUAGAACCAGAUGAUGUAGAUAUCAUUACACCAUCGAGAAAGUUGUUCAAAGAGGCUAUUCCAUACUUGCUGAAGGAUACUGAGCAGUGGUUUUUCUCCCGCUCAUUGGUGUUUAAUGGAUACAAUGGUGUGAUUGAUAAAGAAGUCCAGUUCCUAUCACAUGACCCUGUAGGUGGCCUACUAGAUCUACCCAUUGAUCCAUCUGCUGGUAUUCGUUGUGCAGAGUGAUAUGUAUAGAGUCUGAGGCCGACCUUUUCAGUCUAGCAAAUUUCUUGAAGUGCUUAUAUUGCUUAUGGUUCUGAAACAGAAGCUCAGAAAUCGAGAAAUCCUUCUGUGCAUCAAGAGCAUCAGGUUCAGACUGAGGUCGAGGUGUACCAUGUUUCUUUGCCUCACACAGACCCUACUAAUCAACUUGAGGGUAUAACAAGCCAUGCACAUCAGAGUAAUCAUUUGGAUAUCACAAGUAAACAUACUUUUCCCGAGGGCUGAAGUCAUUGUUGUUUGGCUAUUGAAGGCGGCGACAAAGGGCUUGUAAUAGUUGCUAAUGGACAGGUCUACGUACAAAAGACAACAGAAGUGAUCAAUAAUCAUGGACGAUCAACGCCACCUGGUCACUAUCGAGUCAGUAUCACAGAAGAGAUUGUGCCUCAUCCUAGCUUGCCAUGUCCAAAUGACGAAUUACAGUAUGUCUGUGAAGCUAAGAACAUUUAUACUUCUUGGCCAAUUCACUCGUUUCUUCCAAAAAAGUUUUCUCAAGAAACAUUCAUCGGAAAAUGUUGAUGAGGUUAGAGACAUGUGGGCCGAGUAUUUUCUCAAGCAAGAAGCAAAUGAAGAAAACAAAGAUGAUGGUAUGGAAAUAACUCCAUGAGUUUUGAUUGGCAAAUUGGUGUGAAUGAUUAGAUUUUAGAACUUUUUGUUUUACGUUUUUGGAAAUUACAAUUAAUGUAAAAUUUUUGCGUUUUGAGCAUUACUUUUGGGAAAUAUAUUUUUUGGUAAUAAUACGGAUUAUUAUGGAA